rnacentral:rRNA from 1 species
UGCGGAAUCAUUACACAAAUAUGAAGGCGGGCUGGAAUCUCUCGGGGUUACAGCCUUGCUGAAUUAUUCACCCUUGUCUUUUGCGUACUUCUUGUUUCCUUGGUGGGUUCGCCCACCACUAGGACAAACAUAAACCUUUUGUAAUUGCAAUCAGCGUCAGUAACAAAUUAAUAAUUACAACUUUCAACAACGGAUCUCUUGGUUCUGGCAUCGAUGAAGAACGCAGCGAAAUGCGAUAAGUAGUGUGAAUUGCAGAAUUCAGUGAAUCAUCGAAUCUUUGAACGCACAUUGCGCCCUUUGGUAUUCCAAAGGGCAUGCCUGUUCGAGCGUCAUUUGUACCCUCAAGCGCUUGGUGUUGGGCGUCGUCUCUAGCUUUGCUGGAGACUCGCCUUAAAGUAAUUGGCAGCCGGCCUACUGGUUUCGGAGCGCAGCACAAGUCGCACUCUCUAUCAGCAAAGGUCUAGCAUCCAUUAAGCCUUUUUUCAACUGACUCGGAUCAGGUAGGA